rnacentral:rRNA from 1 species
UUCUAACAUAUAGUUUAUGGAAACCCGUACCGAGAACGGACACACGUCCCCAAGAUGAGUAUUCUAAGGCGAGCGAGAAAACCAAUGUCAAGGAACUCUGCAAAUUCAUCCCGUAAGUUCGCAAGAAAGGAUGCCCACCCUAAAAAGUGGGCCGCAGUGAAUAGUAAGGGGGAACUGUUUAUCAAAAACACAGCUCUAUGCUAAGUCGUAAGACGAUGUAUAUGGGGUGACUCCUGCCCAGUGCCCGAAGGUUAA